UACGUAGGGUGCAAGCGUUGUCCGGAAUUAUUGGGCGUAAAGAGCUCGUAGGCGGUCUGUCGCGCGGCUGUGAAAACUUGGGGCUCAACUCCAAGCCUGCAGUCGAUACGGGCAGACUAGAGUGCGGUAGGGGAGACUGGAAUUCCUGGUGUAGCGGUGAAAUGCGCAGAUAUCAGGAGGAACACCAAUGGCGAAGGCAGCACUCUGGGACGUGACUGACGCUGAGACGCG
rnacentral:rRNA from 1 species